UACGUAGGGUGCAAGCGUUGUCCGGAAUUAUUGGGCGUAAAGAGCUCGUAGGCGGUCUGUCGCGUCUGCUGUGAAAACUCAGGGCUUAACCCUGAGCUUGCAGUGGGUACGGGCAGACUAGAGUGCGGUAGGGGAUCACGGAAUUCCUGGUGUAGCGGUGAAAUGCGCAGAUAUCAGGAGGAACACCAGUGGCGAAGGCGGUGAUCUGGGCCGAUACUGACGCUGUAGAGCGAAAGCGUGGGGAGCGAACAGG
rnacentral:rRNA from 1 species